CCAUUGGCCCUUAUCAGGGCCACAAACUCUUUAAUGAAGGAAUGUU
rfam:Dufourea novaeangliae contig2676, whole genome shotgun sequence.